rnacentral:lncRNA from 10 species
UAAGAAUUAAGCAACCACUACAAAUCCUUUUGAAAUCUCUUUUAGAUCUGGUGCUCUCAUGAAAAUCUACAUCAGGAGGACCUAGAAAAGGAAGGAGGCAUUGAAUUUCCUCAGAUCUACUAUGAUCGAUUCAGUGGCAAAAAGUAUCAUUUCUUUUAUGGCUGUGGCUUUCGGCAUUUAGUGGGGGAUUCUCUGAUCAAGGUUGAUGUGGUGAAUAAGACACUGAAGGUUUGGAGAGAAGAUGGCUUUUAUCCCUCAGAACCUGUUUUUGUUCCAGCACCAGGAACCAAUGAAGAAGAUGGUGGGGUUAUUCUUUCUGUGGUGAUCACUCCCAACCAGAAUGAAAGCAAUUUUAUCCUAGUUUUGGAUGCCAAGAACUUUGAAGAGCUGGGCCGAGCAGAGGUACCUGUGCAGAUGCCUUAUGGGUUCCAUGGUACCUUCAUACCCAUCUGAUGGGACAACCACAAGGUCUGGAAACUAGGUUUAAAAUAAGUGUGCACUUGGACAUAAAGACUGGAGAAAUAAACACUGAGGACUCCAAAAGGGGGGCAAGGAGGAAGAGGGGCAGGGGUUAAAAAGCUACCUAUUGAAUACUAUGUUCCCUAUUUGGGUGAUGGGUUCGUUAGAAGUCCAAACCUCAGCAGCACACAAUAUACUCAUGUAACAAGCCUGCACAUGUACCCCAGAAUCUAAAAUAAAAAUAAAAAGAAA